AUGUGCUUUUAUAAGAGCUUCAAGAAAGUUGCCCAGUCUACCUUAUUUCUGUAAAAUUAAGUGACAGUUUUGUCCCAGAUACGUAUCUGAGCCUCCAUAGCUCUAGAUUCUUUGGUUCUCAUGUUUCAUGAUAUUAACAUGUGUUUGUAUCUGAUGAUUGUGGUAGAGUUUCUUCAACAGAUCAAGAAAACAAAAUUAGAUGGAGAUAAUUAAAAGCCCUUUUCCCUUGCUUAUUGGAGAACAAUAUUCCACUAAUUCUUUCUUCCUAACCAAGCUGUCUCUUUUCGUUUAGAAAAAUGUAAGAAGCCUCUUUUGGAAAAUGGCUUUUUUUAUGGUACAGAAAUUUCCUUCAAAAUACAUGAGAAACUGCGGUACAAAUGUAAUCUAGGCUACCACACUCCAAAUGGUGGUACCGAGGAUACGGUACAAUGUCAAGCGGAUGGAUGGUCCUCACAGCCAAGCUGUACUAAAAAUUUUGAGUCAUGCCAAGUACCUGAUUUACAUCAUGGCUAUUACUUCACAACCCAGCAAGAGCUUCGAGUGAAUGAAACACUGCUAUAUAAAUGCGAUGAGGGAUAUCAUACUGCAGGAGGAAACACUACAGAAGAAGCAAGGUGCCUAGCACAUGGGUGGUCCCUUACUCCAAACUGCACUAAAAUAACUUGCUACCCUUUGAGUGGAAUAGAACAUGGAGGUUUCUAUCCUGUGAAGAAAACCUAUGAAGAGGGAGAUGUUGUUCAUUUUUUC